rnacentral:rRNA from 1 species
UACGUAGGGUGCAAGCGUUAUCCGGAAUUAUUGGGCGUAAAGAGCUCGUAGGCGGUUUGUCGCGUCUGCUGUGAAAACUGGAGGCUCAACCUCCAGCCUGCAGUGGGUACGGGCAGACUAGAGUGCGGUAGGGGAGAUUGGAAUUCCUGGUGUAGCGGUGGAAUGCGCAGAUAUCAGGAGGAACACCAAUGGCGAAGGCAGAUCUCUGGGCCGUAACUGCGCUGAGGAGCGAAAGCGUGGGUAGCGAAUGGG